rnacentral:rRNA from 1 species
UGUGCGAAGGGUAGCAUAAUCAUUAGUCUUUUAAUUGGAGGCUUGUAUGAAUGGUUGGACAAAAAAUAAGCUGUCUCUGUUUUAUUUCUUGAAUUUAACUUUUAAGUGAAAAGGCUUAAAUGUUCUAGGGGGACGAUAAGACCUUAUAAAGCUUUACAGUGUGCUAAUUAAGUUAUAAAUUGUUAGUAUAAACUUGGUUUGGUUAGUAGCUGUUUCGUUGGGGCGACGAAAAUAUAAUUGAUAGUAACUGUUUUUCUUUUAUAAUAACAAUAAAUUUUUGGUAGAAAUUGAUCCUUUAUUAAAGAUUAAAAGAUUAAGUUACUUUAGGGAUAACAGCGUAAUCUUUCUUUGAGAGUUCAUAUCGACAAGAAGGGUUGCGACCCCGAU